AUACGAAGGGUGCAAGCGUUACUCGGAAUUACUGGGCGUAAAGCGUGCGUAGGUGGUUGUUUAAGUCUGUCGUGAAAGCCCUGGGAUCAAUCUGGGAAUGGCGAUGGAAACUGGGCGACUAGAGUGUGGCAGUGGGUAGAGGAAUUCCUGGUGUAGCCGUGAAAUGCGUAGAGAGCAGGAGGAACAUCCGAGGCGCAGGCGACUGCCUGGGCCAACACUGACACUGAGGCACGAAAGCGUGGGGAGCAAACAGGAUUAGAUACCCUGGUAGUCCACGCCCUAAACGAUGCGAACUGGAUGUUGGGUGCAAUUUGGCACGCAGUAUCGAAGCUAACGCGUUAAGUUCGCCGCCUGUGGAGUACGGUCGCAAGACUGAAACUCAAAUGAAUGGACGGGG
rnacentral:rRNA from 1 species